GUUUAAAUUUGAUAUAGGAAUUACUAGGAUUUAUUUAGAAUUUGUUUAGGAUUUGAUUAAAGUUUAAUAAGGAUUUGGUUAGGAUUUGAUUAGGAUUUGGUUAGGAUUUGUUUAAGAUUUGACUAGGAUUUGAUUAAGAUUUGUUAGAGUUUGAUUAGAAUUUGGUUAGAACUUGUUCAAGAUUUGACUAAAAUUUAUUUAGGAUUUAAUUAGGAUUUUACUAAGGUUUGAUUAGAGUUUGUUAAGAUUUUACUAAGGUUUGAUUAGGAUUUUUUAGGAUUUGACUAAAGUUUGAUUAGAAUUUGUUAAGAUUUGACUAAGAUUUGAUUAGUAUUUGUUUAAGAUUUAGUUAGAAUUUAUUUAGGAUUUGACUAGGAUUUGAUAAAAGUUUGUUUAGGAUUUGAUUAGGAUUUAUUUAGGAUUUGACUAAGAUUUGACUAGAAUUUUAUUAGAUUUUGACUAAGAUUUAAUUAAUAUUUCUAUUUUAAUAUUAUAUUAAGAUUUUUAUUUUAA
rnacentral:lncRNA from 1 species